GUUCCAAUUGCGUGCGCGUAUGGAUGCUCCUUUCCCCGCCGCCUUUCUAGCAACUAGUUGAUGUUAUGAUGCAUCGUUGGUCCGGCGUACGAUGGCGCCUGGUGCGAUGUAUGCGUCCGGAAGCCCUUUCAGCCUCCAGGCAUGUCCCCACCUGCCUCACAGCCACCGACGCAUCUCACGGCGGGGUUCCAAUUGCGUGCACGUAUGGAUGCUCCUUUCCCCGCCGCCUUUCUAGCAACUAGUUGAUGUUAUGAUGCAUCGUUGGUCCGGUGUACGACGGCGCCUGGUGCGAUUUAUGCGUCCGGAAGCCCUUUCAGCCUCCAGGCAUGUCCCCACCUGCCUCACAGCCACCGACGCAUCUCACGGCGGGGUUCCAAUUGCGUGCGCGUAUGGAUGCUCCUUUCGCCGCCUUUCCAGCAACUAGUUGAUGUUAUGAUGCAUCGUUGGUCCGGCGUACGACGGCGCCUGAUGCGAUUUAUGCGUCCGGAAGCCCUUUCAGCCUCCAGGCAUGUCCCCACCUGCCUCACAGCCACCGACGCAUCUCACGGCGGGGGUCUAAUUGUGUGCGCGUAUGGAUGCUCCUUUCGCCGCCGCUUUCUAGCAACUAGUUGAUGUUAUGAUGCAUCGUUGGUCCGGCGUACGACGGCGCCUGAUGCGAUUUAUGCGUCCGGAAGCCCUUUCAGCCUCCAGGCACGUCCCCACCUGCCUCACAGCUACCGACGCAUCUCACGGCGGGGGUCUAAUUGUGUGCGCGUAUGGAUGCUCCUUUCGCCGCCGCUUUCUAGCAACUAGUUGAUGUUAUGAUGCAUCGUUGGUCCGGCGUACGACGGCGCCUGAUGCGAUUUAUGCGUCCGGAAGCCCUUUCAGCCUCCAGGCAUGUCCACACCUGCCUCACAGCCACCGACGCAUCUCACGGCGGGGGUCUAAUUGCGUGCGCGUAUGGAUGCUCCUUUCCCCGCCGCAUUUCUAGCAACUAGUUGAUGUUAUGAUGCAUCGUUGGUCCGGUGUACGAUGGCGCCUGAUGCGAUUUAUGCGUCCGGAAGCCCUUUCAGCCUCCAGGCAUGUCCCCACCUGCCUCACAGCCACCGACGCAUCUCACGGCGGGGGUCUAAUUGCGUGCGCGUAUGGAUGCUCCUUUCGCCGCCUUUCUAGCAACUAGUUGAUGUUCUGAUGCAUCGUUGGUCCGGCGUACGACGGCGCCUGAUGCGAUUUAUGCGUCCGGAAGCCCUUUCAGCCUCCAGGCAUGUCCCUACCUGCCUCACAGCCACCGACGCAUCUCACGGCGGGGUUCCAAUUGUGUGCGCGUAUGGAUGCUCCUUUCCCCGCCGCCUUUCUAGCAACUAGUUGAUGUUAUGAUGCAUCGUUGGUCCGGUGUACGACGGCGCCUGAUGCGAUUUAUGCGUCCGGAAGCCCUUUCAGCCUCCAGGCACGUCCCCACCUGCCUCACAGCCACCGAGGCAUCUCACGGCGAGGGUCUAAUUGCGUGCGCGUAUGGAUGCUCCUUUCGCCGCCUUUCCAGCAACUAGUUGAUGUUAUGAUGCAUCGUUGGUCCGGCGUACGACGGCGCCUGAUGCGAUUUAUGCGUCCGGAAGCCCUUUCAGCCUCCAGGCAUGUCCCCACCUGCCUCACAGCCACCGACGCAUCUCACGGCGGGGUUCCAAUUGCGUGCGCGUAUGGAUGCUCCUUUCGCCGCCUUUCCAGCAACUAGUUGAUGUUAUGAUGCAUCGUUGGUCCGGUGUACGACGGCGCCUGAUGCGAUUUAUGCGUCUGAAAGCCCUUUCAGCCUCCAGGCAUGUCCCCACCUGCCUCACAGCCACCGACGCAUCUCACGGCGGGGUUCCAAUUGCGUGCGCGUAUGGAUGCUCCUUUCC
rnacentral:lncRNA from 1 species